CAGGAAAGGUUGUCUUGUAGUAC
rnacentral:siRNA from 1 species